AGUGUGGCAAUUGACGCUCCUCUCUCUCCUAGCUCCUCCUCGUAGAUCCUCACAGUCCUCACAGUCCUCACAGUCCUCACCUCACAGUCCUCACCCCACAGCCUCUUCCUGGUGGUGGUCUCGUCUGUAUUAUAACAUUUAGCAACACUUGUGACGAAGGAGUUGUGGAGUUGUUGUAAAGGUAAAGGCUGGACCAUUGUUUACUUCUUGGUGUGUAGUGCAGCGUGGGAACUUGGAGAGAGAGAGGAGGCGUAAAGUGCGUUUCACGGGUUCACCAUAGCCCGUGCUACAUGGAUAUUUUGUUCUGAGUAGCUAAAUCUAGAUCAACAAACAGCUACACAGGGUGCGUAAAGUGCGUACAGUGCUGGUAGCGUUCAGGAGACGCUGCCCUUCCUGUGCUACGCCACACCUUGCAGAGAGAGGGUGCGUACAGUGCGCACACAGGAGACAGUACAGGAGACGGAGUUGCUAUACUCCUCCCGGGUCCAAGCAGGUCUCCCAGGAGGGCUCAGGGUAUUAUGGCUGAGUGAGGUAUGGUCAGCAUGUCAACAGAUCGCGUGGGUGUGCGGAAGAAGACUGAGGCCAACAAUGGGCAAGCGACCACCGGGGCGGCUGCACCAGUCGAGGAAACACCCAACCACAUCGUGUAUAGGCGGAUGGAGAAGAUCGUGGAGCAGAUGCAGCAGGAGGAGACGGGUGUGCCGGUGAAGACGGUCAAGAGCUUCAUGACCAAGAUUCCCUCCGUCUUCACCGGCGUUGACCUCGUCGCCUGGAUGAUGAGGAACCUGGACGUCGAAGAUCAGACCGAGGCCCUGCACCUGGCCCACCUGGUCUCCGCUCACGGCUACUUCUUCCCCAUCGACGACCACGUCCUCACCGUCAAGAACGACUCCACCUUCUACAGAUUUCAGACCCCAUACUUCUGGCCCUCCAACUGCUGGGAACCUGAGAACUCCGACUAUGCCGUGUACCUGUGUAAGAGAACGAUGCAGAAUAAGGCGAGGCUGGAGCUGGCGGACUAUGAGGCCGAGAACCUGGCCAGGCUACAGAAAAUGUUCUCCAGAAAAUGGGAGUUUAUUUUCAUGCAGGCAGAGGCCCAAAGCAAGGUGGACAAGAAGCGCGAUAAACUUGAACGGAAGGUCCUCGACUCGCAGGAACGGGCGUUUUGGGAUGUGCAUAGACCCAUGCCUGGCUGUGUCAACACCACAGAGAUUGAUAUCAAGAAAGCGUGUCGAAUGAACAAACCAAUCAAGUCAAUCAAACAUCUUGCGCUUGGUGUGGCUGGAGGUCGAAUAUCUCCGUCUGUUUCUGAGGCUGACCUGACCAGUCCAGUGGAAUCUCUGAAGCAUGACAUCGACCUACUCAAGACCAGAGUCGACCGAUGCAACUUUAAAGUGUCCAAAGUUGCAGAGUCGUUUAUCAGCUACUGGGAACAAUAUCAAGAAUAUGAUCCUUUCAUCACUGCAACUGACCCGCCUAAUCCCUGGGUUUCAGACUGUCCUGAUUUCUGGGAAGCUGAGAAAAUUGCGAAGGAAAUCCCAUCUAAACGAGUAAGAAGAUGGGGCUUCAGUGUACAAGAACUGCUCAAAGACCCACUUGGACGUGAGCAGUUUGUCAGAUUCCUUGAGAAAGAGUUCAGUGGAGAAAACCUAAUGUUCCUUACUGCCGUUCAGGAACUGAAGUGCCUCCCACAAAAGGACGUCCAUGAUAAGGUCCAAGCUAUCUGGGAUGAAUACCUCGCCCCUAGUGCCCCUGUGCCCGUAAACAUCGACUCUAAGUCCAUGAACAUUACAAAGAAAAACAUGCAAAACAGAGAUCGCUGGACCUUUGAUGCAGCAGCUGCACAUUUGUAUCACCUAAUGAAGUCUGACAGUUACUCGCGGUAUCUGCGCUCAGAAAUGUACAAAGAAUUCCUCAGUGGUAGCAGAAAGAAGACUUCAGUGAGGGGGAUCAGAUCAAUAGUACACUUCAGCAAAGGGAAGGAUGCUCCCCCACCCUCCUAGUAGUGACUGAAGAAGUAACCUGCAUGCUUCCUAACAACCCCCCCCAGCUGACUGGGAAGUCAUUUAUGAUACCCAAGCUGUCUACACUCAACAUUGGAGCAAACAGUUAGCUAGAUCACAAGUCCACUUCAAGCUUCCAGUAGAAGUUGGUGGUCAUCUGUAUCACAGGUGUGCACUGGGAGUACAGUGCACAUGGGUGUUCACCACUUUCUGAUCUCCACAUCAAACAUGGGUGGACAUCCAUCAUUAUCGCAAGUCCGCAUCUCCAGAGGAAGUGGAAAUCACUGUAAAGUCCAAUCACCUCUCCAGUGACACUUGAUGUCAGUCACUGUCUCAAGUCCAUACCAAAUCUUCAGUGAGAGUGGUCGUCCGUCACUGUUGCACACUAGUUUCUUGUGAGAGUUGGUACCUUUCACUAUCACAAUUCCAUGCCAAGUCUACAGUGAAUGUAUGGCUAAUUUGCCGGCUACAAAUUGUUUCCCAGGUGUUCCAUGAGAGAGGACUCUCAUUGUUGUUGAAAGUUUAUGCCAAAUAUCCAGUAUAUGGAUUAACAUCAAGAUACUUCGGUAUCAAGUAAUGAGUGAGAGUGGAUAACCAUUCUUGUCACUCGUUUACAUUACAUGUACAUUGAAGCUGGAUGGUUAUCACUGUUAUAGAUUUGCAUUUUGUUUAAAAAAAAAAAAAAAAGAGUGUGGGUGAUUGUCAUUGAAUGAAGUUUACAUCAAAGCUACAGUGAGUUUGUCAAUAUUAUUUCCAUGAGGAAUUCAAUAGAACCAAGUCCACAUCAAGUCUGCUGAAAAAAAUGUAUACCUCACCGAGUCUGGUUAUCAUAUUUUUUAUUUCUUUUUAUCAGCAAAAAAUCCAGCCAAGGAAUGACACUGUGGAAAUGCAAGCUUCCUUCAAAGUGUGAUUUCUAAAAGUUCUUACAGCACUUCCAAAAACUUGAUUAGUUCAUGAUAUAUAAAACACUUCAAUAUACAGUGGAAAUAAUAAUAUCUUUUCUUAAUAUAUUUGUCUUAUUUAUAUCAAGAUAUAAAUAAGACAAAUCUUUAUAAAUUCAAAGUGCACAAGAUAUGAGGAAAAUUACUUAAAUUCUGAAUAUUUACCUAAAAGUUCAGCAUAUUGUUAGAGAGAGUUCAUGCUACUUCACAUUAGCAUGAAGGUUGUGUAUUUGCAAAUAAAAUGUAAAUCAUGGCAAGGCUAAGUCAGGUUAUUAUGAGAAAGCACAAGAUAAUAAUUACAUUUUCAACAUUUAGAAAUUUACCAAGCCAAAGGAAACCUUCAAUCUGUAUUGCUUUUAUCCAUAAAUAUAAAACUAUUUUCGCAUGUUAAUACCGGUAAUAAUGUUGAAAAAUCAUGUUUUUAAGUGCUGUAAGAACCGAGUACUUGGGGGUUAGCGAGUGCCGAACAAAAUCAUAACUAUCUGUAAAUUGUGGACGACACAGGGCAAGGUUAUGAGUGAACAAUCAAACCGUCACAAUAGUCCAUUGAACGAAAAGGUGCUACCAUAUUGCAUUUACUUACCGUAUGUGCAUAUCGCUUCUUUUUUAAACCAGAGCUAAUGAUCAUAUGAAUUAAUUAGACAUUAAGCAGAUAAAUUAUGGAUAAUUCUGGAGAUAUAAAGUGACAAACACUUGAAUGACAAGGGCUGGUCUUUGUAUAAUCUAUUUUAUUUUAAUGAAAUGUUUGAAAAGUGAUUUUAUCCAAAAGCAAUUUAUAAUCCUGUUGACUAGUAUUACACUGAAAAGACAAUUUUACAUCACAAGCAGAUGUGAGACUAACUUGUAAUUAGAUCUAUUGCAUACUUAAUGUUAACAUUUGUAUAAAGAAUGUUAGUUGACCCAAAGUUGUUGGGAGAACAAUCUAGCAACCUAUCAUAAUAUUUGGACACUCAGGCUGUUGCUUUCUAGUUUUAAUGAAAAGGAAAGUGGACUGUUUCCUCCAGAGAUCAUUCUAAGGAUCUCUUUGCCAGUCAUGACAACCUUCUUAUUUAAUUUUCUUUGAGCGGACCAAUUUUAUUAUAGACUUUUAAUAUUGCAGCUGUAAGGGAGGCUAUAUCAGGAUUUCACAGGUUACAUUACAUCACUACCAGAUUUGUUUUAUUACAUUAAUCCCAGAAUUCCAGUUUCAGGGAUCUCUAUUUUUAUAUUUUUAUUUGAUUAUCCUGGUUGCUCAGUGCUUACAUAUAGUCUGCCUUACAGCUCUGGCAGUGUUCAAUGCUUUACAAAUAUUUCUGCCAUCACCACGAGUCAUCGCUUAACAAAGCUGUUCCAUUACAUGACUCGUUAACGCUUCCCCAUGUUGUUGCCAUCAUUUAGGUCACUCACUUUAUUUUAUCAUGCCAAAAAAUAUUGUAAAUUGCAAUUCUGCAGUAUACAGUACAGUAGAACCUAAAAAGUACAUACUAUCUUUACAUUAAUUGUAUAUAAUGUUAUAUACCAUAUGUUUUAUCAUUAAAUAUUAACCCAAACUUA